rnacentral:rRNA from 1 species
UGGGGAAUUUUGGACAAUGGGCGCAAGCCUGAUCCAGCAAUGCCGCGUGCAGGAUGAAGGCCUUCGGGUUGUAAACUGCUUUUGUACGGAACGAAAAAGCUCUCUCUAAUACAGGGGGUGAACGACGGUACCGUAAGAAGAAGCACCGGCUAACUACGUGCCGGCAGCCGCGGUAAUACGGAGGGUGCGAGCGUUAAUCGGAAUUACUGGGCGUAAAGCGUGCGCAGGCGGUUUUGUAAGACAGAUGUGAAAUCCCCGGGCUUAACCUGGGAACUGCGUUUGUGACUGCAAGGCUGGAGUACGGCAGAGGGGGGUGGAAUUCCACGUGUAGCAGUGAAAUGCGUAGAGAUGUGGAGGAACACCGAUGGCGAAGGCAGCCCCCUGGGCCUGUACUGACGCUCAUGCACGAAAGCGUGGGGA